rnacentral:rRNA from 1 species
GACGAACGCUGGCGGCGUGCUUAACACAUGCAAGUCGAACGGAAAGGCCCUGCUUGCAGGGUGCUCGAGUGGCGAACGGGUGAGUAACACGUGGGUGAUCUGCCCCUUAUUUUGGGAUAAGCCUGGGAAACUGGGUCUAAUACUGGAUAGGACCAUGCUGUAGGUGGUGUGGUGGAAAGAUUAGUUUCGGUAAGGGAUGAGCUCGCGGCCUAUCAGCUUGUUGGUGGGGUAAUGGCCUACCAAGGCGUCGGCGGGUAGCCGGCCUGAGAGGGUGGACGGCCACAUUGGGACUGAGAUACGGCCCAGACUCCUACGGGAGGCAGCAGUGGGGAGUAUUGCACAAUGGGCGCAAGCCUGAUGAAGCGACGCCGCGUGGGGGAUGACGGCCUUCGGGUUGUAAACUCCUUUCAGCCAUGACGAAGCCCUUGUGGUGACGGUAGUGGUAGAAGAAGCACCGGCUAACUACGUG